UUAAGAGUGUGUGAUUAAAAAAAAUGGUUGUCUGAAUUUUGAAGAACUAUAUCCUUUAGGUAUUCUUUACCCAUUAAGUCACAAAGAAUAUUAUAUGAUUACAUUGUAAUAGCAGUGGCGGAUCCAGGGGGGGGAGGGUGUCAGGGGUUGGACCCCCCCUUUUUUUGGACGAUCAAUGCAUUUGAAUGGGGACAUGUGGUUGGAACACCCCCUUUAUCCUGGGUUGGGAACCCCCCUUUUUCAAAUGGCUGGAUCUGC
rnacentral:lncRNA from 1 species